rnacentral:rRNA from 1 species
GAUGAACGCUAGCGGCAGGCUUAAUACAUGCAAGUCGUGGGGCAGCAGGUCUGUAGCAAUACAGAUGCUGGCGACCGGCAAACGGGUGCGGAACACGUACACAACUUUCCUUUAAGUGGGGAAUAGCCCAGAGAAAUUUGGAUUAAUACCCCGUAACAUAGUGAAAAGGCAUCUUUUUAUUAUUAUAGCAGCAAUGCGCUUAAUGAUGGGUGUGCGUCUGAUUAGGUAGUUGGCGGAGUAAUAGCCCACCAAGCCUACGAUCAGUAACUGGUGUGAGAGCACGACCAGUCACACGGGCACUGAGACACGGGCCCGACUCCUACGGGAGGCAGCAGUAAGGAAUAUUGGGCAAUGGACGCAAGUCUGACCCAGCCAGCCGCGUGGAGGAUGAAGGUCCUCUGGAUUGUAAACUUCUUUUAUCUGGGAGGAAAUCCGUCUUUUCUUGGGUGGUUGACGGUACCAGAUGAAUAAGCACCGGCUAACUCCGUGCCAGCCGCCGCCGUAA